CCAGCAUGCGCGUGAGUGAUGAGGCCUAGGGUCGUAAAGCACUUUCNNNAGGGAUGAUAAUGACAGUACCUGGUUACAGAAACCCCGGCUCAACUACGUAGCCAGCAGCCGACGGUAAUACGCAGGGGGAUAGCGUUGUUCGGUAUGACUGGGCGUAAAGCGUACGUAGGCGGCUCAGCAAGUACCGAGSUGAAAUCCCAGGGCUCAACCCUGGAACUGCCUCUAAACUCCUSAGUCUAGAGUCGAGAGAGGUGAGUGGAUUCCGAGUGUAGAGGUGAAAUUCGAGAUAUUCGGAGGAACACCAGUGGCGAAGGCGGCUCACUGGCUCGAUACUGACGCUGAGGWCGAAAGUGUGSGGAGCAAACAGGAUUAGAUACCCUGGUAGUCCCACACGUAAACGAUSAAUGCCAGUCGUCGGGUAGCAUGCUGUUCGUGACACACUAACGAUAAGAGCG
rnacentral:rRNA from 1 species